UUAUUCUUCAUUUGGAUGUCGAUAAUAGCGUUAUCUAUGUGAUUUUUAUGCACUUUUAAUGUUGGUGUCAAAAGUGCGUCUAUACGAUGGCAGGAAAAACUCCACAGAAAGGUAAAGCACCACCAAAGGACGAUGAUAUUCAGAAACAAUUUAAUACUUUGACAAAAAAAAAGGCAAUGCUUAAACGGGACUUAGAACUUGUUACUGUGGAAAAGGAUAGGUUUAAGAGAAAGUUGAUAAAUAUUGAAAACUAUUGCAGGGAGCAUUACAAUGAAAAUGAUAAGAUUCCUGAAAUCCUCAACAAAGUGUACGAAGGGCUAGAAAAAGUAGGUAGUGCUGGCUUCAAAGCUCCUGGUCAAGAAUCUAAACAGUAGUUAAAAAGCAAUGGCUUCUGCAGGUACAGCAGAUUAAAUAAGUACCAAAAAUAAAAUUUAUUUUAUCAAAUAAUAUUAACCGUCGUCAAAUGAUAACCCAAGAACUGAUUUUGAGCUUUAAAUAGCGAUCCUGCCAAGAAACUACAGAUGACAUUGGGCAACACAUUGUUUUUUAAGUGGUUUUCAUUCUGGUUACUAUUUUAUGUGCUAUAUGAAUCAAUUUAGGAAAUUGAAGUGUUUAUCUUUAUUUUUAAACUUUUUCGCAAUAUGUGAAAACCUUGAAAUACAUUGCACCAAUACUUACUAUUUCUGAAA